rnacentral:rRNA from 1 species
UACGUAGGGGGGGAGCGUUGUCCGGAAUCAUUGGGCGUAAAGCGCGUGUAGGCGGCUUGGUAAGUCCGGUGUGAAACCUUGGGGCUCAACCCCAAGCCUGCACUGGAUACUGCCUCGCUUGAGUCCGGGAGGGGAGAGCGGAAUUCCUAGUGUAGCGGUGAAAUGUGCAGAUAUUAGGAAGAACACCGGUGGCGAAGGCGGCUCUCUGGAACGGUACUGACGCUGAGACGCGAAAGCGUGGGGAGCGAACAGG